UUGCAACGGCACCAUUUGAGUAUCCUGAAAACGGGCUUUUCAGAGUAGUGUCGUCGUAUAUUAAUCUAGGAGUGCAUAGUGGCCCGUAUAGCAGGCAUUAACAUUCCUGAU
rfam:Edwardsiella ictaluri 93-146, complete genome.